rnacentral:rRNA from 1 species
GCAGCCGCGGUAAUACGGGGGAUGCAAGCGUUAUCCGGAUUUAUUGGGUUUAAAGGGUGCGUAGGCGGCCUGUUAAGUCAGCGGUGAAAUUCAGGGGCUCAACCUCUGCCGUGCCGUUGAUACUGGCAAGCUGGAAUGCGGAUGCCGUUGGAGGAAUGUGUGGUGUAGCGGUGAAAUGCAUAGAUAUCACACAGAACACCGAUUGCGAAGGCAUCUGACGAAUCCGCAAUUGACGCUGAUGCACGAAAGCGUGGGGAUCAAACAGGAUUAGAUACCCC